GCCACCUGUCACUCUAAAACCACUCCCUCAAAGAGAUUGAGCGCCAAUUCCCUUACAGCCGUUUCCUUUUCUCGAUAGACCUCACAUCCGCUCUCUCUAUUCUCGCUAUUUCCUUUUCUCUCACACACGCAGUUUCCAUAAACAUGAUUCCUUUCUUUUCUAUAUGAUGUAUCAAAUCAAAAACCGUAGAUCUAAUUUUAUAUUAUAUCUUUCCGAUUUUGCUUUCAAUCCAUUCGUCUUUGGCUUUUUGUUUCAUCGAUUUGGCGAUUCUUCUUUUGAUCAACACUAUGUAAGGUGAUUUCGUUGAUUGCUUCCUAUUAAUCGAUUCCAAACCCUUAAUCUCUGUGGUUUUUAUCUGGGGCACCAACCCACUUCCAGAUAGAAGAUUCAAAUUAAGGGGUGAUGAUGGCAUCUGGUGGUUCUUUGAAGACUCGAGUGGUGAUCUUUGGUGGCGGAAUCAGUAUCGGCUAGCCCACAACCAUCCACAACCAUCGUAAUGGGUAGAUAACCAACCUAAAAAUAUCAAACUGAACAACAAAUCGGUAUCGGGAUCUGCCGUCAGGUAAGUGAAGGACUAUAUUUUGCUGACCAGGCUGGUAGAGAUGUAAUCGUCACCGGCAUUCCAUUUGUUUUGUGGAAUGAUCCUAAGGUUCGGUUGAAGCGUGAGUUCUUGGAUGAGCAGGAACGUUCGCAACGUACAGGAUCUAAGGUUUUGACUGGAGAUGAGUGGUAUUGUCAACAAGCAUCACGGGCUGUAAAUCAAGCAGUUGGACGGGUCAUUCGUCAUCGUCAUGAUCACGGAGUGGUAUGGCACUUUUAUCUAAAGAUGUAAGAUUGAAGUAGAAAAUGUAUGCUCAUGCUCAUGAUUACCGUAUCAAUUCUAUAUCAAAUAACAGUGAUGGUGAAACAUUCGUAUCAGCCGAUGAUCUUCGGAUAAACCUAUGGAAUCUGGAAAUUAGCAAUCAAAGUUUCAACAUUGUAGAUGUUAAGCCUGCAAAUAUGGAGGACCUCACUGAGGUUAUUACAUCAGCAGAAUUUCAUCCUGCUCACUGUAACACACUAGCAUAUAGUAGUUCAAAAGGAUCCAUUCGUCUUAUAGACUUACGUCAACCUGCAUUAGACUAUGGGGUAUGGGGCUUGGGUUGGGGCGUGGCCGCGUGGGUUGGCUGAAAACGCCCAAGCCACCACCCCGGGGGCUUGGGUUGGGGCGUGGCGUGGCCCUUGGGGCUUGGGUUUGAAGCCGGGCAUGGGGCGGGCUAGCAAGGUGACAUGGCGGGCUCUCAAUGGCUAAACCAAUCUCAUGCCCCCAACCCAAGCCCCACCAUACCCCAUGGGCGUGGGUUUGAGUUUGUUUUCCACAUGUCAACUCAUGCCCCCAAACCCACACCCAUCAUACCCCGUAGCCUUAUGCGAUAGACAUGCUAAAUUGUAAGUAUUCUGGUGCCUUUUUUAUAUUUAUAAUUUUUGCAAUUAUAAAAAGAUGAUACUAAAUAAUAUUUGAAUUUGUUAUUAAUUGUUAUGUGGCAUAUUAAAAAAUAGCAAAAAGUUGACCUAUUUGGUCAAUCAGGUCAUUCCUUUCUAGAACUGAUUUUAAAAGCUAACUUGGCUGCUAUAGUUGGUGAUAAAAUGUAACUGGUUCCUAUUAUGAUAAAAUGCAGAAGCAAAUUGAGGUAAUUAAAGAUUGAUUUAAUACUAAAUUAGUAAAGUAUAAAUUAUGUUACUUUGUUUUUUAAAGUUAUUAAAGUUCUUUUUUUUUUUUUAGUUUUUGUCUAUGAAAUUGGCCACUGUUAAUUCCAGUAUGGAUGUAAGCAUGGAAGCACUUUUAUCCAAAGAAUGUGUAGAUUAAACGCACAUACACGUUCAUUAACUUGGAUAAGAGUAGCUUUCCACCUGUAGCUGAUCAACUAUUACAUUUAAUACUUACAUGUAUGUUUUUUUGCAUGAAUGGAUUUAGUUCUUAAAAAGGGACACCGCUCUAGCGACAACUGCUGUUUAUAGGUCUAUGUUUGCAGCAGAAGAUGGCUCCAUCCCUGCGACUUUCCAGGUGAUUUUUUUAAAUCCUCCAUUAUUGAAAACAAUUCCAUUUAAACAAUUUUCUUUGACUGAUUAUAAUAUGGAUUUUUAAAUUUUAGUAAGACAUAUUUAAAAAUUAAGAAAGACUUCUCAAUGUGAAUAAUUUUCUUACUAUAAAAACUUAAAAAAAAAAACUGUUAUAUUUAGUAGCUUUUCAAAUUUCAAUCAAUCAGUUUAUUAAUAGUUAAAUCCUUUAUAUUUGUAAACUAUAAGUAAGGAAUUGAUUAACUUUUUAAAUGUAAACAACAGUUAUUUUUAGAAUCUUUUUUAAUUUCCAAUCAAUAAUUUUUUAAAUUUCGGUUAAACUAUUUAUAUUUAGAAGUUUCUUAAAUUUCCAAUCAUUCAUUUUUUUAAAUUUUGGUCAAACUAUUUAUAUGUAGAAACUUUUUAAAAUUCCAAUCAAUCAAACUUCUGAAAUUUCGUAAUUGAUUGUUGUUUCUAUAUAACAACUUUGUAAUUUAAAUAUAAAUACCUAAUCUUUCACCAGAACACAAUACACUUUAUUGUGCAUAACAAUCUCAAGCAUCAACUUAUACAACAUACCUACGUAUCAGUAUGUUUUGCAAUGACUAUUAAUAAAAGCCAGGGACAAUCAUUAUCUCGAGUUGGGUUGUUUCUAAAAGAUCCGGUUUUCACGCAUGGACAAUUGUAUGUGGCGUUAUCAAGAGUUAAAAGCAGAGAUGGAGUUAAACUGCUUAUAUUAGAUGAAGAUGGUCGUGUCACGAAUAAAACAACAAAUGUUGUAUACAAAGAAGUGUUUAGAGAUUUAUGAAUUAUUAUUGCAUUUGUUCUAUUUGUAAGUAUUAAUUUUAAUUACAAGUCUGUAUUCUUUUAAACAAUAUGUCAUAGUUCUAAAAAAUAAAUAUAUACAUAUAUAUGAAUAAAUGAAAAUUUCAUGAUGAAUAGGGUAGAUUAAUCUACUUUGUGGUAGAGAGAAGUUGGAUUAAUUCUUCAAUUGAUGUGAGUUAUAUACCAAGCCGAUGAUUCAAAUUGCUUUAGCUUCUUUAUGUUCUUUUCUAUAGUUUUUAUAUUUGAAAAAAAAAGCUCUUAGUUUUAUAUGUAUUCCAGUUUAUGCUAAAUGAAAAAAAGGGAAAAGGGUUUAUACAUUAUAAGGUACAUUAGAGUAAUCUGAUUAAUCAAUGUGAAACUAACAUAAUGUUAUGUUUAUAGCAGGUGAUUGCGCUCAAGCAACCUAACAUACCUACAUAGGCCUCUUUCUUGGAUUGAACAAGGACCAUUUUGUGACCGAGAAUUGUUGGGCUCCUCGCCCAUGUGACUAGAAAGGCGUAAGUUUUAUUAUUUAGCACUAAUUAAUCAAUUUGAAUACUCAUGGGACCUUCCAAUGUUACCUCAACAUAAUCAAUAGGAAAGUGGACUAAAUGAAGAAAAAAACAAUGUCAGCCUAAAUUUAGGAAAAUUGUUGUACCCAUCAACAGAUAUGGUCCUUAUCAUCUAAAAAAAAUAACUAAAAUGUUGGUGAAAAGCAUUGCACAUUAUAUUUCAAAUGCUUUUUAUUGCAUAUUGUUGCUAUGCACAGUUAGAUAUCCAGCUAUUACAUUGCGAAUUAUUACAUUGCGAAUGAAGUUUAUCGGGCGUUGAGGGGGCUAUGAUGACUAAACGAGAUUUGCCAGCUCAUAUUCUAUGACUUUGGAAGUGCAAAGGUUUUGUUUUGAGUUGAUUCUUACUUGAUCUAGAUCUUGGUGGGUCCUUAUGAACGGACUAAAGAUGGUUUUCAAGAUCCCAUAAGAAACUACUUUUGGACUCAGCUAGAGAAGAUCUUGGCGGGUCUGCGGGUCCUUAUGAACGGAUUAUGUUGUCUAUUAUAUAUAGUUGAUUUCAUCGAAAGUAUUUUGGUGGUUAUUGAUUAAAUGAAAGAAAAAAGGGUGAGUGAUUGUCAAGUGUUGAUUGUUUCAGGUUCUGGGAGCAACAUCUAUGGCUACCUAGACUGGGAAGCAUCCAUGUAAGCUUAAAGAUGAUGUAACUUCACCAGGCGGAACCACCAUAGUCGGGGUUCAUGAGCUCAAGGAGUCUGGUUUCCGUGGGAUACUGAUGAAAGCGGUUGUUGCUGCUGCAAAGCGUAGCCUCGAGCUUUCUCAGAAUUAGUUUUUUUAUGUAUUUCUCGACAUGCAUUAAACAAGUUGACAUUGUCAGCCAUUGUUAGUUUACAUGGCCAUAUUUAGUGGAGUAACCUGCUAUUCUGAUUACUAGAAA